rnacentral:rRNA from 1 species
UACGUAUGGGGCGAGCGUUGUCCGGAAUUAUUGGGCGUAAAGGGUACGUAGGCGGUUUUGCAAGUCAACUGUUAAAGAAUAAGGCUCAACCUUAUAAAGCAGUUGAAACUACAAGACUUGAGUAGUGGAGAGGAAAGUGGAAUUCCUAGUGUAGCGGUGAAAUGCGUAGAUAUUAGGAGGAAUACCGGUGGCGAAGGCGACUUUCUGGACACAAACUGACGCUGAGGUACGAAAGCGUGGGGAGCAAACA